GGUAGAGGAGCGUCGUGAAGCCGAUGAAGGUGUGUUGAGAAGCAUGCUGGAGGUAUCACGAGUGCGAAUGCUGACAUGAGUAACGAUAAAGGGAGUGAAAAAACUCCCUCGCCGGAAGACCAAGGGUUUCUGUUCGACGCUAAUCGGAGCAGAGUGAGUCGGCCCCUAAGGCGAGGCCGAAAGGCGUAGUCGAUGGGAAACGGGUCAAUAUUCCCGUACCGGACAUGAUUGCGAUGGGGGGACGGAGAAGGCUAGGUGAGCCAGGCGUUGGUUGUCCUGGUGAAAGUGAGUAGGCUGAGUGCUUAGGUAAAUCCGGGCGCUCAAGGCCGAGACACGAAACGAAGACACUACGGUGUCGAAGUCAUUGAUGCCACGCUUCCAGGAAAAGCCUCUAAGCUUCAGAUCAUGUGCGACCGUACCCCAAACCGACACAGGUGGUCAGGGUGAGAAUCCCAAGCGCUUGAGAGAACUCGGGUGAAGGAACUAGGCAAAAUGGUGCCGUAACUUCGGGAGAAGGCACGCCGGCGUAGGGUGAGAGGACUUGCUCCUUCAGCCCGAACCGGUCGAAGAUACCAGGUGGCUGCAACUGUUUAGUAAAAACACAGCACUCUGCUAACGCGCAAGCGGACGUAUAGGGUGUGACGCCUGCCCGGUGCCGGAAGGUUAAGUGAU
rnacentral:ncRNA from 1 species